rnacentral:lncRNA from 1 species
CUGGCUAGAGGGACGGAAUAUGCUGUAGACUUAAGUUAAGCAAGACCUCUUCCUGGAACUGGGAGAAGGUCAUUUCAGCCUUAGCCACCUGGCUUGAAAGUCCAAGGUCCUGUAGGAAUGGAGAAUGGAGGCUGACAUGGCACACCUAUUCGCCGAGGCAUCACCUGGAUCCUACAGAGUCAGGAAAUGGUUGCACCAAGAAGAUACCCAACAGAAUCUGGAUGCCCAGAAACAAGACCUAAGAUGACAUUUCCUACUCUGCCCCUUUGGAAGUUCACAGAAGUCUUAGCGUGGACCUUGAACCCUCAUCAGAUGUAGAAUUGCUGUUAGAAUCCCCUACAGCCUUGGCCAUCAGUGAUGGUGAAAGCAACAGAUGUCAGAUGUCAGCCCCUGGCUUCCUGCCUUACCGUAGAGGGAUACUCGACAGACAGACUGGACAGAUCACUCAUGCUGGGGAAAGCCAGGUGUCAUGUCUUGGGGAAUCCAGGUGUUAUGUCUUAAGGACAGGCUGGCAGACCUGUGCAUACGCCCAUGUAGCGAGAAACUAGACCCUCAGCUCAAGACACUGAAAGAAACCUCAUGAAACAACUUGAAGCUCUGACCCUGAACCACCUAGCUAAACUGCUCUUAGAUACCUGAUUCUCAGAUACUAUUGAGAAAAUAAACAAUAAUUAUUUUAUGUUGCUACAUUUUGGGAGUAAUUUGUUACAUGAUAAUAGCUACACGUUGAAGAGCAAAUUAUUCACGCUCUGUUUUUCAGUUUCCUCAUCUGCACAAUGGAGUACCGAUUUUAUGAUGUGGUUGUGAGGAUUUAAGAGAUCAUCCACAGAGAAGUGCAACAGAGUACAGGGUCAGAAGUCAGCACCCC